AUUUGUGUUUAUUUUGCGAAAAUCCGCAAAUUUCAGAAAAAAAAAAAAAAAAAAAAAAAAAAAAAAAAAGAUUCUUUCGCCUUUUACUAAAGAAUUCCGUGGAGAGGAGCAGUUCAAUGAGUCUUGAACAUUUUUCGAUAUCCGACUUUGGUCGGUUU
rnacentral:snRNA from 1 species